GCCUAUAUGGCAAUUAAAAAAAAGUUAGAUAAAGAUUAAUCAGAAGCCAACACUUCAUUUAUCCCCAAAGAUUCUCCAAACUGUCAAAGUCCUCUCCAUCUCCAUCUCCAUCUCCUCCCUUCCCUUCACAAUGGUGACGAAACACCGACGUACUCGUCUCCACCUCCGACGACACCUCGCAACCCAUCCUGACCAAGUUACUUUUCCCCAAUUUUCUAACCCUUCGAAGCUUGCGUGCAAGAGCCGUCACUUGAAGCCGACUUCGCCUCUACAGCGUUUUCAUAUCAGGCCGCACUCUCUAUAUGGGUAUCCCAGCAAUCUUCUUUCAUCACUUUCUUACUGGAUCAAUAUACUCUAUCCAAAUAUCUCAUUUAUGGAAUAAACUUGUUAAAAAAACAUGUACAAUUAGCUCCAGAAGACAGUGAAUUUUGACCAAAAUAUUUUUCUAUCAACACAAGCAUCUUAAUCAAAGUAAUUCUUACAUAAAUAUGGAUCAUCAAUAUAAAGACCAUAUAAAACAUUAAUGACAUCAAGGAACAAUUUGUAUGCAAUAAGAAAAAUGACCUAAUUCAUCUCAAGAAUUAAAGAUGGCUUGGCCGGCGACUGUCACAUGGAGCAAUUGCUAGAUUUCAUGCAUUGGGGAAAUGGGCGGAAUGAGGGUUGUUUCCAAAAGUUUGGCUCAAGUGGGAAUUAGUUGGAGGAGGAGAAUAUGGCUGGUCGGAAAACAGUCGUGUCGUUGGCAAUCGUCAGAGUUGCCGGAUUUUGUGCUUCAGAGAAAUGAAUGGGAGAAAUAAGGUUUUG
rnacentral:lncRNA from 1 species